GUGGAUUAGAUACCCUGGUAGUCCUAGCAGUAAACGGUGCACGUUUGGUGUGGGGGGAUUCGACCCCUUCCGCGCCGGAGCUAACGCGUUAAGCGUGCCGCCUGGGAAGUACGAUCGCAAGAUUAAAACUCAAAGAAAUUGACGGGGACCCGCACAAGCGGUGGAGUAUGUGGCUUAAUUCGAUGCAACGCGAAGAACCUUACCUGGUCUUGACAUGCACUGUGUCUCCGGUGAAAGCCGGAUAGUGUAGCAAUACACGCUCUGCACAGGUGCUGCACGGUUGUCGCCAACU
rnacentral:rRNA from 1 species